GAUGAACGCUGGCGGCGUGCCUAAUACAUGCAAGUCGAGCGAACGGACGAGAAGUUUGCUUCUUUGAUGUUUGCGGCGGACGUGUGAGUAACACGUGUAUAACCUACUUAUAAGACUGGGAUAACUUCGGGAAACCGUAGCUAACACCGGAUAAUCUCCUGAACCGCAUGGUUCAAUAGUGAAAGACGGUCUUGCUGUCACUUCUAGAUGGAUCCGGGCUGCAUUAGCUAGUUGGUAAGGUAACGGCUUAUCAAGGCGACGAUGCAUAGCCGACCGGAGGGGGUGAUCGGCCACACUGGAACGGAGACACGGUCCAGAGUCCUACGGGAGGCAGCAGUAGGGAAUCUUCGGCAGUGGGCGGAAGCAUGACGGAACAACGCGACGUGAGUGAUGAAGAUCUUCGGAUCGUAAAACUCUGUUAUUAGGGAAGAACAUAUGUGUAAGUAACUGUGCAGAUCUUGACGGUACCUAAUCAGAAAGCCACGGCUAACUACGUG
rnacentral:rRNA from 1 species